rnacentral:lncRNA from 1 species
AUGCGGCUGCGAAAUUUCCAGGUCCCCCCCCCCAGAAAACCCCAACUCACCGCUAAAAGUUCCUGCCGAGCCCGUCGGGGGCCCGGCCCCCCCAGUCCGCCCGGUACUCACGGGAGCAGCGCCGCUCCGGCUCCUACAUGCCCCGCGCCGCUCCCGGGGGCUCCUCCCGCUGCCGCCCCCCGCCCGGGGCAGCCCCGGGGCACGGUCCGGCCCCGCUGCCGCCGUGGGGUGCGCGGUGCCAGGGCGAAGGAGGGGGGCGAGCGGGUGAGGGGGGGGGGUCCGGCCGUCGGUCCCGGACUCGUCCUUGGAGGAGGAGGAGGAGGAAGCGCCGCAGCUGCGGCGGGAGAGAGGGAUGGGAGCGGAGGAAGGAGGGAGAGGGGUGGGUGCGCACAGGGAGGGGGAGGGGGGGGCGAGCUCAGUCAAUGCCAGCAGGUGUUUCAGAGGGACCGCUGCCCCCAGCUUCAUGCUCGCGGCUCCCCGGUAGCCAUAGCCGGGUCGGGACGGCUGGGGAUCGGGGAAGAGGCAGAGAUGCGGGCACGGGGAGGGGGGGGCAGGAAAAGGAGGGGUUGGCAGAAGGACGAGACAUAUGUCCUCCCGGCCCCUGCCCUCUGCCGAGCCGCAACUUUGCCGCUUGGCUGCAGUCCCCCCGCCAAAUUCGUGCUCCGAGCGUGGGGAGCCCACGGAUCAAAGCGCCCCCACGAAAGAAAAGAACCCUGCAAAGUGGCACAGCCCACGGCGAGGACCCCUUCCUCUCCCCGGACAUCGCCCCCCUGCAGCUCACCCACAGAAAGAAGCAGCAGAGACUGUAUCCUCCCCCCCCCCCCCCCAAACGCGUACACCCCAAAUACCUUCCAGCCUUUUGCUAGCUUAACUGCUGGGAAUCGUCCUGCUGCGCAUCGUGGUGACCCCAUCCAGCACGGAGCGGACCCGGGCCCCCAUCCGCAGCAGGGGGGGCACAGGGAGCGCAGCCCCCGCCGGCAGCAGCAGCCUCCAGCUGUCGCCAGGGCCCGUAUUAAGGCAUCAGCUGAUUCCCGGCACUACUCGGGGGGAGAGCAGGGGGAGCCCCGGCAAAGGCAGGGGGAGAUGGGCAGAGCCCCAUGGGGUCCCGUUGCCCUCAGGCUGGGCGCUGGGUUCCUCCUGGUCCCCAGACAGCACCAGCCGCCUGCGGCACCCGUGGCACCUCUGGGGGUGGAGACGCCCGGCCCGGGGGCACUGGCACGGCUGCCACCCCCCACCCCAGCACCGCAGCCGCCUGCUGCACCAUCACGUCCCCGUGCCACCCUGCGCUCCGCCGGCACCAAGCGCAGCCCAGCGCCCACCCACGUGUCUCCUCGUGGAAAGGUCGUUCAGGGAGGUUUUAGUCUAUGCCAGCCCCGCAGUGAGCGUGGGACCUCCACAUGCCUUUCCCCAAGGCCGGGGUCCCCGAGGUUUGCAAACGAUGCCAAAACAAAUGGAAAUUGCGUUUUCCUCUUGGCCUUUGCUUUAACCCAUUGA